rnacentral:rRNA from 1 species
GAUGAACGCUAGCGGGAGGCCUAACACAUGCAAGCCGAGCGGUAUUUGUUCUUCGGAACAGAGAGAGCGGCGCACGGGUGCGGAACACGUGUGCAACCUGCCUUUAUCUGGGGGAUAGCCUUUCGAAAGGAAGAUUAAUACCCCAUAAGAUAUUGAGUGGCAUCCUUUGAUAUUGAAAACUCCGGUGGAUAGAGAUGGGCACGCGCAAGAUUAGGUAGUUGGUUAGGUAACGGCUCACCAAGUCAAUGAUCUUUAGGGGGCCUGAGAGGGUGAUCACCCAGACUGGUACUGAGACACGGACCAGACUCCUACGGGAGGCAGCAGUGAGGAAUCUUGGACAGUGGGUUAGAGCCUGAUCCAGCCAUCCCGCGUGAAGGACGACGGCCCUGUGGGUUGUAAACUUCUUUUGUAUAGGGAUAAGCCUACUCUCGUGAGAGUAGCUGAAGGUACUAUACGAAUAAGCACCGGCUAACUACGUG